rnacentral:rRNA from 1 species
GAUGAACGCUAGCGAUAGGCCUAACACAUGCAAGUCGAGGGGCAUCACAUGAAGUAGCAAUACGGAUGGUGGCGACCGGCGCACGGGUGAGUAACACGUAUGCAACCUGCCUUCAACAAGGGGGAUAACCCGUUGAAAGACGGACUAAUACCCUAUAACACAGGGGUCCCGCAUGGGAAUAUUUGUUAAAGGACAACCGGUUGAAGAUGGGCAUGCGUUCCAUUAGCUAGUUGGCGGGGUAACGGCCCACCAAGGCAACGAUGGAUAGGGGAACUGAGAGGUUUAUCCCCCACACUGGUACUGAGACACGGACCAGACUCCUACGGGAGGCAGCAGUGAGGGAAUAUUGGUCAAUGGACGCAAGUCUGAACCAGCCACGUCGCGUGAAGGAAGACGGCCCUACGGGUUGUAACUUCUUUUGCAAGGGGAAUAAGUGGCCGACGUGUGGCCUUUUGCAAGUACCUUGCGAAUAAGGAUCGGCUAACUCC